rnacentral:rRNA from 1 species
CCUACGGGAGGCAGCAGUGAGGAAUAUUGGUCAAUGGACGAGAGUCUGAACCAGCCAAGUAGCGUGAAGGAUGACUGCCCUAUGGGUUGUAAACUUCUUUUAUAAAGGAAUAAAACGAGGCACGUGUGCCUUUUGCAUGUACUUUACGAAUAAGGAUCGGCUAACUCCGUGCCAGCAGCCGCGGUAAUACGGGGGAUCCGAUCGUUAUCAGGAUUUAUUGGGUUUAAAGGGAGCGUAGGCGGGGGCACAAGUCAGCGGGAAAAUCGCGGGGCUCAACACCGCUCCGCCGUUGAAACUGUGUCCCUUGAGUGCGCGAAGGGUAGGCGGAAUGCGUGGUGUAGCGGUGAAAUGCAUAGAUAUCACGAAGAACUCCGAUCGCGAAGGCAGCCUACCGGCGCGCAACUGACGGUCAUGCACGAAAGCGUGGGUAUCGAACAGGAUUAGAUACCCGAGUAGUC